rnacentral:tRNA from 1 species
GUCGCGUUCGUCUAACGGUCAGGACGCUGGGCUUUCAAUCCGGCAAUGCGGGUUCGACUCCCGCACGCGAUACCA